AUAUUUUCACAAUUUUGGGGGGAAUAAAAUGUUGUAUAUAAUCAAGCAAAUUAUAUAUGAACAAAUCCCUCUGUAAAAACCUUCAGGAUAUAGAAAGGAAUAAAAAUGUAAAGUUUGGUGUGUGUAAGUGCUACUGAAGUGGAAAUGUAUGGCUCAGUGUAGGAGAAAAAAAAAUCUCAUUUUGAGAAAACGGCCUUUAAAUAUAUGUAUUGUAAUUGAAAUCUAUUGACACAAAUAGAUAAAGUGCUAGAAAAGAAACAAUUAACAGUGUCUCUAGGAUGUUUUCUCUCCACUAAUCUGAAAAAAAAAAGCCCAAAAUCUCAAAUUUGACAGGUGGAUGAGAAAAACUGUUUUUGCCUGCAGUGUCUCCCUUUAAGACGUUUCAGCUGUUUACGGCGCUGCGUUGUCAUGGCGACGAAGCUGUUGUUACGGUCACGGACCUGCUACAAAUUGGACAAACCUUUACUGUGUAGAAGGUAACAAACCAAAGGAAGAGGACAGCAGCUUUGCUGUAUCAGUCGUGGUAAAUACAGGAACAUUCUUCAUGAAGAAGUGCGAGAGAAGCUUGCAAGGCAAGAUGAGGGGAAAAAAUUAAAGCCCAGUGUCAGUGAAGAUGGUGUGAUCGGGAAAUCUGGUGUUUGUAGGAAAUCUGAAGGAACAUCUCCCAGCAUUCUACUACGAUGUUGCCCUGAUAAUUGAGAGACUGUGGAAAGAUGGUGUGCAACUUCAUGACAUUUGAAGUCUACUGCUGAUGGAGAGCUUCUGGGACAUUGACAAACAGUAUUUCCCAGCAAUUUUAUUUGGAGUUCUAUAUUUUUUAUUAAUUUUAUUUAUUUAGUCAAACUUGCAUUCACUAAUGCUGGAGUAAGAUUUUAGAAGAAACCUUUCAGUCCUGUUUAAUGUUGGUGCUAGUAAAGGUUUGAGAAUGUAUGACCUGGUUUCACAGACAGGGCUUAGACUAAGCCAAGAUUAGGCCAUAGUUCAAUUAGGACAUUUAAGUAAUUUUCAUUAACAUGCCUUAGAAAAAACAUUACUGGUGUGCAUCUUGAGACAAAACAAAGGCACUGAUAUUUUUAAAGAUCAGUCAGUGCAAGUUUCUUUCAGUUGAAACAGCUCAGAAUUACAUUCGUUUCAAUUCAAAUGAGCUUUAUUGGCAUGACUUGCACAGUAUUGCCAAAGCAUAAUUAUAGAAUUACAUUUUAGUCUGGGCCUUGUCUGUGAAACCGGGGGUACCAUUAACACAGUUUGGUAAUGUUUUACAAUAAGGUCUCAUUUGUUGUACAUGGAAUGAUAAUUUUCUUGAUUUUGUUUUUGUUUUGUAUUAAGUGUGUGUGUUAGUAAUCCUAUACGUUAUGGAGACCAAAUGACUCCACAAGGAUAGUAAUACCACUAAAUGUUGACCUUGAGGACAUUUUUAGGUCCCCAAUGAGGAAACAGGUUUAUAUGGUAAACGUACCUGUUAAGCUCACCAAAAUCUACUUUGAGACAUUUUAGUGCACAAGAUAUUGGUUUCAGUACAAAAAGGUAUGUUAAAAUAAAAUAUUAAUCUCUCACACAAAAAUAUUUUAUUUUAAAUGACAAAAGCAUUUCAGAUUAAGAUUAAGAUAUACAUCAUUCAAUUCAAAAAGUCCGGCUAUGCUUAAUGGGUUCAUUUUUGUACCCUUUAAGCACAGCCCUGUUCCCAUUAAGCUCACAUUGUGUUUUAUUAAAAAUUCUUCUUUAU